UACAGAGGUCUCAAGCGUUGUUCGGAUUCAUUGGGCGUAAAGGGUGCGUAGGUGGCCUCAUAAGUCCGCUGUGAAAGUCCAAGGCUCAACCUUGGAAAGCCGGUGGAUACUGUGAGGCUAGAGUACGGAAGAGGCGAGUGGAAUUCCUGGUGUAGCGGUGGAAUGCGCAGAUAUCAGGAGGAACACCAAUAGCGAAGGCAGCUCGCUGGGACGUUACUGACACUGAGGCGCGAAAGCGUGGGGAGCGAACAGG
rnacentral:rRNA from 1 species